rnacentral:lncRNA from 1 species
AUGGUUUGGUCUCCGGUGCCGACGGUUUGGUUUCCGGUUCCGGCGGUUUGGUUUCCGGUUCCGACGGUUUGGUUUUCGGUUCCGGCGGUUUGGUUUCCGGUUCCGGCGGUUUGGUUUCCGGUUCCGGUGUUCUGGGUUUCGGUGGGAGACUUCAUCACGGCGGCAUCGGUUGAACUGGGAUUGACAGUAGAUUUGGCUGCCGAGCUGUUGGCUGCUUUGGCAGAGUCGUUCAUCGGAUCACUGAUGCUCACCGGUUGCACUGACGUAUUUAGCAAAGCAACAGACUUAGGUAGCUCAUUGAAGGAAGUUAUUGCGGGCUGAGUGGAAAUGUUUGUCGCAGGGAUAGCGGGAAUUAAAACUGGUUUUGCGGGUGGAUUUAUGACCGGAAGUUGGCUCACUGGGACUGAUGCCUUGACUGGGUCACUUACUGCGUUCGUGGCAACUUGGGAUUUUGGCGGGCUGUUGAUUUCCGGCUUCGUGAUCGUCAGAGCAGGCGUAUUCGAAGGUUCAACAGAGUGGUUCUAAGGACACAUUUAAACCGUUGAGACUAAAAUAUUCAUUGAGACAUGGUCGAUAGAAAAAGAGGGAGGUCAAAUAAGUGGCGAGACUAUGCAAUUACGCACGACGGAAGUUAGAAACCACUAGGGCCGGAUUUAGGGGAUGGCCGCGGCUCAUGCUUGGCGGCAAAUCUAGGGGGCGGCAAAUUUGCAAUUUUUUCAAAUGUAGGCAUAAAAAAAUCGGACUUAGAAAAAAAUUACAAACAAGAAAAGGCGACAAAAUCUCUCAUUUCAUGAGAGUAUAGUAAUUUCUAAUUUUGUCGCGUCUUUCAGUGAUACAAGAAACAGCACUUUCAAUUAGUCGAGCUAAGGGAGAAACCAAACACGCACUUUGGCCUGGAACGCCGCGGCUUAGAGAGAAAUGAUGACGAGGACUCGAGAUGAAAAGGAGAAGCCCUCGGCGCGGCGGGCGGCAUGUAGUAACACUUAUUAGCGCCUACAAGACUGCAUGAAUACUUCACGCAUUGCGCCAAACACGGUGCGGUCUGCGCGGCGCGGCGCACUAUGGUCCCAUAGCCCGAUUUAAGCGGCAUUAAAUCAGAUAUGUAUGAUCAUACCUUGCAAAAUGAGUUAUUACGGGUUUUUGGGGUCGCUGAGUGCAAAUAUGCUAAUAUUUUUCAGAAAAAAUCCAUUUUUAACAUUUUUAUACUUUUGUAUAACUGUAGUAAUAUUUUGUACAAAAACCUUAAAUUGAGGCGAGUUUACCAACGUGAUGCGGUGGUGUAGUGGACAUCGCAUCUCAUUCAACAUCCGUAGAUCCCGGGUUCGAUUCUCGGAAGAAUUUUUUUUUUUUUUAUAAGUUCAAAAAUUAAAUUUUGCAUUGAAUGGACUAUAAGAAGCUAAAAGUAGAACUUCGUCGAACACCACUGUCAAGGGAACUUGAAAAAGACAGCUCAGAAUAAUACUUCAAAGUUUCAUGGCUCCGGAGCCCUACUUUCAAGUCCCGCCGAUCAGCCGUUUGAACUCGUUUUCGUCUGCCAAGCUGAACUUAAGCUUACAUAUAUCUAUUCUGAUACAUUAUAUGUUUGAAACAUGGUAAAACGUCAAAAAAAAACUUUUACGGGACCUCAAAGAGGCUUCCCAAGACGAUUUCAUCGCUCGGGAGCCUUUCUUUUAAGUCCCACCGAUCAACCGUUUGAACUUGUUUUCGUCUGCCAAGCUAAACUUGAGCUUACAUAUAUCUAUUUUGAUAGACUAUAUGUUUAAAACAUGGUAAAACGUCAAAAAAAAACUUUUACGGGACCUUAAAUUGGCCUCUCGAAGCGAUUCUUCGCUGUUCUUGAGCAUAAGUUUCAAUUCCUCCCGAUCAGCCCCAUCAACUCAUAUUAUUCUGCCUGGGCAAAUGUAGACUCCAGAGCAUACGUCUUGAUAGAAUAUGACAAUGGAACAUCAUAAAAUGCAUGGUGAAUGGCAUAUGAUAGCUAAUAGUAGUAAGUGCUAUGGAACGCGAAAACGUCAUUUUUCAUGAGAAACAACUUGAGGGUAUUGUAUGGUAUUGAUCUGCCACUCAGACUAAAAGGUAGUCUAGAGUCAUGACAAUAACUUCCGAGUAAAAUUACGAGGUGCUCAGAGGUGCAAAGUAUAUUUUUUGGGUCCUACUUCUGCGAUUUUAUUGAAAAAAACUGACUAUGUCUAAGGGUUAAUCUAGAGCAUUAGAUAUGAUAAAAAAGAAUACUUUCAGCAUGAAACAUUUUAAACUUCCCUUAUAUUUUGUGAAUCAAGUGCCCAAACUCUUUCAGGUACGGCGAAACAACGCAAACAAGCCCUUAAACACAGCACUGCCGCUCGGUAACUGGAAUCGUACUCAAAAGUGCUCCGCGCGCCGCACUUCCCAGGCUCGUCACAUCUUUAUUAGUGCUUCAAUCGAGCUGAUAUUUUACAGGGGUCUUCUCUACAGUAUAUACCAUCGAUCUACGUCUUAAAAUCGAACUUUUACAAACUUCAUUUUUUCGAUUUAUUGCCGCUUAAAUCGGGCUAUUGGACCAUAGUGCGGCGCGGCAGCGGAAGUUAAAAUUUUUAACAACAUUUAUGUUUGUUCUUUCAUAAUUUUUUCGUUCUUUUAAUAUAAAUGGAAGGCCUUGUCCGCACAGAGGUAGGUUUACGGAACUUAACUUUGGGCUGAAGUUCCAUUAACUUUUGCUAGUAGUGUUAACGGGGCUUUCGCAAAAAAUGUUUCCAUCACGAGUAAACGCGUCUUAUGCACCCCUCCCCCUCCGGCACGUUCACUUGAUGGUUUUUAUUGAUGUUUCAAAACGAAUGAGAAGAAGGCGGCAAAAUACAUGCGGCCCAUGGGCGGUAAGCAGGUAAAUCCGGCCCUGCUGGAAACCACGCACGUGUCUCGCCUCGCUCCUUCGCAGAUUCCAUGUGCUUCACGUUUCUCGAAUAUUACUUAUAGUUGUUAAUUCUCUUCAGGUAAUAGAAAUGUGAGUCAUAACCGUUUUUAAAUCUAUUCAUUUUCAAGUCCUUGCGAUAAAAAAGUUCUAUGCUUUUCAUUUUUUAACAGGUCGUCACCCUCUGGUCGAAGUAGGUAUUACAAGCGCCAUUUGCACUUAGGCACCAACUUGUCAAACUUCGCAAACUUGUCCAAAUUUUUACAGGAAAACUUAAUAACAAAAUCACCAGAAAAUUUUAUCUAAUAUUUUCGUUGCCAAGUUUAGGGCAUAUAUGUGCAAAAGUUUUAAGAAGGAACUUAAAAUAAUAUAUUGAGAUGUCCAAUAACGUAGCGCCUAGGCUUAAAUGGCGCUCAUGAUACUUCGACCAAAAGGUAGCGAAAUGAGGAAACGCGGAUUUUAAAUUCACAGCCGAGAAGGGUACAUCUCACACCUGUGGCUUAGACGUAACUACACUCGCAGAGCGGCGGCAUUGCCGCUCGAGUCGAAUUUCUACGACUUUCUCGCUAAUUGCGAGUAUAUAAAGCGGAGAAACGAGUACACAAGUCGAAUAGCCGCUUAUGUCGAAAUUUUCAUUGGUCCCCCGACUUUCGACUUAAGGUAAUUCGACGGUUGCCAUUUUUUGUGUCAGAGCGACGUGCGAUACAUCGCAUCAAUUCGUUCUAUAAUUUCAGCUACUUGUAAUUUUUUUGAAUUUGGAGAUCGCCUUUCUGUUAUAAUUGUGUGAGACUAGAGAAUUCAUGUACCAAAUUUGACAAAGAAAUUGAACGUAAUAAAGACAGGUUUUUUAGCGGAAAAAUAUCGAAUUCAAUACUGACAUCGAAACUGCACUCGAAUAUAUGCGACAUUUUUCCUCUGAAAAACCCUGCCUUUAAUACAUUGAAUAUCCUUGUCAAAUUUGGUACAUGAAUUCUUCAGCCUCAUGACAACAGAGGUGUGAUUCCAAAAUUCGAAAAAAAUGACAAGUAGCUGAAAUUAUGGAACAAAUUAAUGCGAUAUAUCGCACGUCGGGGUGGGGAGGCGAUCGCCUCCUAAUAACUUGCCGCAGAGAUCCCGAAGGGGCCCCCGCAGCGAAUUUUUUUCGAGUCAUCGUUUUUUCCCCGUAAUGUUGUAAUUUUCCUAUCCUUUCCAGUCACUUAAAGGCUCCAAAAUCCUUGAAAAUUUGUCUCUAAGAGACAUGAAAGGUCGCCUGAAGCUUAUGUGAUGAAGGGGCUCCCGAAGAAUCCUGAGAGUAGGUUAUUCUGAAGUUCAAGUACUGUAGAAUUUAACUCCAAUAAUGCUUAAAAUUGCGUUUAAAAAGUGCGAAAUUUUCAAAAUUUUCCGGGAGAGGGCCCCCCGAACGACAAGGGGACCCUCAAAUCUAGGUUGCCUCCUAACUUUUCGACUACCAGUCCGCCUCUGCACGUCACUCUGACACAAGAAAUGGCAACCGUCAAAUCACCUUAAUGAGCUUUUAUUAUAUUAGUGAUCCGUGACUCUGUAUUGCAUACACACAAAAUUGAAGGCGCUCUGGCUUCUUCAUUCCAACGCUUGGAAGUAUCUGAUAGAGAACGAGAGAAAAAGAAAGACAAGAUGAGGAAAAUAGAGAGGGAGAAAAGGGGGCAAGAAAUUAAGUAGAAAGAAGAUUGAAUGAAAUGAACAUCGGGCAAUGAGAACUCACUGGAACAGGUGAUUUUGCUGCGUUCGAUGGCUCCACUUUCGCCAACACUGUCGAGCUCGUCUGCCGCGGGAGCUCAAAUUUUGCCGGAGGAUUUGUCAACGCGGGCGUUGUCGAUGUUUUUGGUGAGUCACUCACGCUCGUGUUGGCCCCCGAAACCGAGCCUCCUUGGACAUCCUUCGGCGUCCCUAGGGUGCUCCCGGGCAGUCCUGCGCUCGCUUGGUUGUCAUCUGUCUUCCUGAUCAGAUCGUUGGGAAUCGUCGCGGCGGAGACCCGAACGGGAUCGCUCUUAGCCUUCGGCACUGACGUCUCCACAACGGUUUGGCAGUCUGGUUCGACGAGACACUCCCUAAUAGCACACCCAAAAACAAGUAUGCUUUAAAAACAUUUUGAAUUGGUCUUAGGAAAGAUAUUUGUGUAAAGACGAAUAAUAAAUGUUUUAUAGCUAUCUUCAUGGGCGUAGCUAGGGGGGUCCGGGGGGGCCUGCCCCCCAGAAAUCUCGUGCCCCCCCCCAGAAUAACGGGAUCCUCCAUUCCUCUCCCCCCGCUCUCUUCACCACGAGAGG